AUUGAACGCUGGCGGCAGGCCUAACACAUGCAAGUCGAGCGGAUGAAGGGAGCUUGCUCCUGGAUUCAGCGGCGGACGGGUGAGUAAUGCCUAGGAAUCUGCCUGGUAGUGGGGGAUAACGUCCGGAAACGGGCGCUAAUACCGCAUCCGUCCUGAGGGAGAAAGUGGGGGAUCUUCGGACCUCACGCUAUCAGAUGAGCCUAGGUCGGAUUAGCUAGUUGGUGGGGUAAAGGCCUACCAAGGCGACGAUCCGUAACUGGGCUGAGAGGAUGAUCAGUCACACUGGAACUGAGACACGGUCCAGACUCCUACGGGAGGCAGCAGUGGGGAAUAUUGGACAAUGGGCGAAAGCCUGAUCCAGCCAUGCCGCGUGUGUGAAGAAGGUCUUCGGAUUGUAAAGCACUUUAAGUUGGGAGGAAGGGCAGUAAGUUAAUACCUUGCUGUUUUGACGGUACCAACAGAAUAAGCACCGGCUAACUUCGUG
rnacentral:rRNA from 1 species